UAACCGCCCGCCGAAAGAGCGGCCUACGUCCUAUCAGCUUGUUGGUGGGGUAAUGGCCUACCAAGGCGAUGACGGGUAGCUGGACUGAGAGGUCGGUCAGCCACAAGGGAACUGAGACACGGUCCCUACACCUACGGGUGGCAGCAACCGGGAAUUUUGGACAAUGGGCGAAAGCCUGAUCCAGCGACGCCGCGUGGGGGAAGAAGGCCUUCGGGUUGGUAAACCCCUUUUGUCCCGCAUAAUGCGGGGAGAAUAAGCACCUGCCAACUACGUGCCAGCAGCCGCGGUGAAACGUAGGGUGCAAGCGUUAUCCGGAUUUACUGGGCGUAAAGGGUUGCGUAGGCGGUUUGUUAAGUCAAAAUUGAAAUAUUUCCGCUUAACGGAAAGAACGGUUUUGAUACUAAUAAACUUUGAGGCUCACAGAGGUAGCCGGAACUUGCAGUGGAGCGGUGAAAUGCGUUGAGAUUGCAAGGAACACCGAUGGCGUAGGCAGGCUACUGGGUGAGAUCUGACGCUGAUGCACGAAAGCUAGGGGAGCGAAGCGGAUUAGAGACCCGCGUAGUCCUAGCCGUAAACGAUGGACACUAGAUGAGUGUCUUUUUAGGUGCUUGUCGCAAGCUAACGCGUUAAGUGUCCCGCCUGGGGAGUACGGCCGCAAGGCUAAAACUCAAAGGAAUUGACGGGGACCCGCACAAGCGGUGGAGCAUGUGGUUUAAUUCGACACAAAGCGAAAAACCUUACCAGGGUUUGACAUCCUAACUGCACGCCCCGCGAAAUCGGGGUUUCUUCGAGAGUGUUAGGACAGGUGCUGCAUGGCUGUCGUCAGCUUGUACCGUGAGGCGCACCCUUAAGUGGGUUAACAAGCGCAACCCCCAUCCUGUGUUAAAUAUUCACAGGAAACUGCCCGCUAAAUGCGUGGAGGAAGGAGGGGACGACGUCAAGUCAUCACGGCCCUUAUGCCCUGGGCUACACACAUCCUACAAUGGGUGUUAACAACGGGUU
rnacentral:rRNA from 1 species